GGGGGGGGGGAGAAUACUAAAAUGGGUCGCGGAAGAAGAAAACGAGCUUGCUAAGGGAAGAGUCCAAGCAGUAAUCUUAGACAUGAGCAACCUGAUGAAUGUUGAUACUUCUGGGAUUCUAAUACUGGAGGAACUGCACAAGAGGUUGCUCUCGCGUGGCGUACAAUUGGCUAUGGUGAACCCAAGGUGGCUAGUGAUUCACAAGCUCAAAGUGGCACAUUUUGUGGAUAAAAUCGGAAGGCAGUGGGUUUUCCUUACUGUUGCUGAAGCCGUAGAUGCAU